UCCACCAGUUGUGGUUGUGGCGGCAAACGUGGCAGAACCAUUUGUACCAGAACUUAGUGACAGAAACAGUGCAGAGUUUAAAGUUCUUGAAAUCAGAGUUGUAACAGUGUAUGAUAUCAUCUACAAGACAAAAUAUGGAUUUCUUUUCAUACGCUCGUUUGUCAUUUCAUUUAGUCAAGCUGUGGUGAUAACUCGAGCUGAUAGUACUGAAGUCGAGAUGGGGCUUGAGUUCAAUCAAACUGCUUCACCUGCAGCAAUCCCAAAGGAUGAUGAUGUUGCAAACACCUUAGAAGAGGCUAUAUCCAACCCAAACAAUACCUUCAACAUCACUGUUGAUGUGACCUCCAUCCGAGUAAUUCCCCCGACAGCUAUCCCAACUACCAGUGGCUGCAACUACAACUACAAGGGCUGCUACAACUAAAAUCACAACGAACUCCUACAACCACCAUAACGAAAGCUACUACAAUUUGCUGAAGCAGUCAUCAAUAAGGCAGUUGACUUUCAGAUCUGCUGGAGAGACAUUUACAACCGAUUUGCAGAAUAGAUUAUCUGCAGCCGUUUAAAGCACGAGCCUCACUAAUAGAGACAACACUUAACCCUAUUUACCAACAACAAUUUUCUUCGUUCCGCUCCUUGACGGUGAUUUUGUUCAGUAAUGGAUCAAUCUUCAACACCAUGAAUAUUAAAUUUGCAUCCACAUCAGUUCCUAGUGGCACUCAGAUUGGAAACAUUUUGGCUGGUGUAGCUUCAAGCAUCACAGCCUUCAACAUUGAAACUGCCUCAAUUUUUUUGGAUGGUGCACAAGUUUCAAAUGGAGUAUGCCACAAGAUGAGUCUCAUCACUGCAUCCUUCCUUGUGCUGCUGUCAUGGCUACUGUCAAGCUUUCAAUAGUGCAGGCUCAUGUCUGUUAAGUGAAAUACAAUUACAGAAAGCCUUACAUACUGUAACUGUAUUGCAUAUCAGACGCAUCACAUAUAACAACAUUUUAACUUAUUGUGCAGAUAUAAUUUACAAUAACAUUUAAAUUGAACACAGUGCCUUCCUUGUAUUAUUAUCCAGUAACUUUUCUUAUUUCUAUCUUUUUAUAUUAUCAUACAUAACUUAUGUGUAUUCUGUGAGCUUACCUUUAUUUUGGAAAAAAACAAGGUCUUCUUGAUGAUCGGAACACAAAAUAUAUUGUAUGUUAUUUUACGUUUUUAGCAUCCGAAAAUAAAAACAAGGUGUAUCUCAAUAAGUUGAAAAUGCUUCCAUUAAAAGGCACUGAAGAUAAGUACAAACAAUCAAA